CGGGAUGUAGCGCAGCUUGGUAGCGUACUGGUUUCGGGAACCAGGGGUCGGGGGUUCAAAUCCCCCCAUCCCGA
rnacentral:tRNA from 2 species